AAAUUUUAUUUUUUUUUCUAAGUCCAAAAAAAUUUUUAUUUUUUUUUUUUUUUUUUUUUUUUUUUAAAGUUAUUCAAUUAUUUUAGUGGA